GACGAACGCUGGCGGUAUGCUUAACACAUGCAAGUCGAACGAGAAGUCUUUUAUUGAACCUUCGGGGGAUAUAAGAGACAGACAGUGGCGAACGGGUGAGUAACGCGUGGGCAACCUACCUAUCGGAGCGGGAUAGCCUCGAGAAAUCGGGAGUAAAACCGCAUAACACGGAUAUAUCGCAUGAUGAAUCCGUCAAAACUCCGGUGCCGAUAGAUGGGCCCGCGUCUGAUUAGCUAGUUGGUAAGGUAAGGGCUUACCAAGGCAACGAUCAGUAGCCGGUCUGAGAGGGCGAACGGCCACACUGGAACUGAGACACGGUCCAGACUCCUACGGGAGGCAGCAGUGGGGAAUAUUGCGCAAUGGGGGCAACCCUGACGCAGCAAUACCGCGUGAGUGAAGAAGGUUUUCGGAUCGUAAAGCUCUGUUAUUGGGGAAGAAGCAGGACGGUACCC
rnacentral:rRNA from 1 species